rnacentral:rRNA from 1 species
UGCAGUCGAGCGGACAGAUGGGAGCUUGCUCCCUGAUGUUAGCGGCGGACGGGUGAGUAACACGUGGGUAACCUGCCUGUAAGACUGGGAUAACUCCGGGAAACCGGGGCUAAUACCGGAUGGUUGUUUGAACCGCAUGGUUCAGACAUAAAAGGUGGCUUCGGCUACCACUUACAGAUGGACCCGCGGCGCAUUAGCUAGUUGGUGAGGUAACGGCUCACCAAGGCGACGAUGCGUAGCCGACCUGAGAGGGUGAUCGGCCACACUGGGACUGAGACACGGCCCAGACUCCUACGGGAGGCAGCAGUAGGGAAUCUUCCGCAAUGGACGAAAGUCUGACGGAGCAACGCCGCGUGAGUGAUGAAGGUUUUCGGAUCGUAAAGCUCUGUUGUUAGGGAAGAACAAGUGCCGUUCAAAUAGGGCGGCACCUUGACGGUACCUAACCAGAAAGCCACGGCUAACUACGUGCCAGCAGCCGCGGUAAUACGUAGGUGGCAAGCGUUGUCCGGAAUUAUUGGGCGUAAAGGGCUCGCAGGCGGUUUCUUAAGUCUGAUGUGAAAGCCCCCGGCUCAACCGGGGAGGGUCAUUGGAAACUGGGGAACUUGAGUGCAGAAGAGGAGAGUGGAAUUCCACGUGUAGCGGUGAAAUGCGUAGAGAUGUGGAGGAACACCAGUGGCGAAGGCGACUCUCUGGUCUGUAACUGACGCUGAGGAGCGAAAGCGUGGGGAGCGAACAGGAUUAGAUACCCUGGUAGUCCACGCCGUAAACGAUGAGUGCUAAGUGUUAGGGGGUUUCCGCCCCUUAGUGCUGCAGCUAACGCAUUAAGCACUCCGCCU